rnacentral:pre_miRNA from 1 species
UUUAUACUCCCUCCGUCCGAAAACACUUGUCAUCAAAAUGGACAAAAAAGGAUGUAUCUAGAACUAAAAUACAUCCAGAUACAUCCUUUUUUAUUCAUUUUGAUGACAAAUAUUUUCGAACGGAGGGGUAUAAG